CACGUAGGGGGCAAGCGUUGCCCGGAUUUAUUGGGCGUAAAGGGCGCGUAGGCGGCUCUGCACGUUCGUUGUGAAAUCGCCCGGCUCAACUGGGCGGGGUCAGCGGAUACGGCAGAGCUUGAGCAAGCUAGGGGGCAAUGGAAUUCCCGGUGUAGUGGUGGAAUGCGUAGAUAUCGGGAGGAACACCAGUGGCGAAGGCGGCUUCCUGGCCUGUAACUGACGCUGAGACGCGAAAGCGUGGGGAGCGAACCGG
rnacentral:rRNA from 1 species